AUCAACGGUAGAGAACGGGGG
rnacentral:miRNA from 1 species